rnacentral:rRNA from 1 species
UCAGGCCUAACACAUGCAAGUCGAACGGCAGCACGGACUUCGGUCUGGUGGCGAGUGGCGAACGGGUGAGUAAUACAUCGGAACGUGCCCAGUCGUGGGGGAUAACGUAGCGAAAGCUACGCUAAUACCGCAUACGAUCUAAGGAUGAAAGCGGGGGAUCGCAAGACCUCGCGCGAUUGGAGCGGCCGAUGGCAGAUUAGGUAGUUGGUGGGGUAAAGGCUCACCAAGCCGACGAUCUGUAGCUGGUCUGAGAGGACGACCAGCCACACUGGGACUGAGACACGGCCCAGACUCCUACGGGAGGCAGCAGUGGGGAAUUUUGGACAAUGGGCGCAAGCCUGAUCCAGCCAUUCCGCGUGCAGGAUGAAGGCCCUCGGGUUGUAAACUAAUGUGUACGGAACGAAAAGGCUCUGGUUAUACCUGGG